GCUCUCUCUCGCUAAUUUGGAUAGAUACCUCCGAGCAAGGGUUAAGUGUAAGCCUCGUUUGUAUUUGUAACGUAAGUUGUCAUCAUCGUAAAGAGUUAAUCAGGUUAAUUAUUUUCUUUAGUAAGGAAUGUGUUUUACCCGAUUCUUCUAUCAUUAUGUUAUCUUUGUUGUUGAACCUCUCGAUUCUCGACCUUGGAUUUUGAAAAUUGGUAUAAUUAUUAUUUGACCCUUUUUGUUUGUUAUGCUUUUCUUUGUGUGUGUGUGUGUGUGUUUAUUUGGUUAUUGUAAUCUUUGGGAAUUCUUGUUUUGAGUGGUUUUGGAAGAUGUGUCGUGUUAGAUG